rnacentral:rRNA from 1 species
UUUUGGAGAGUUUGAUCCUGGCUCAGGAUGAACGCUGGCGGCGUGCUUAACACAUGCAAGUGGGGCGACGAACCAGGCUUCGGCCUGGGGCAGAGCCGCGAACGGGUGAGUAACACGUGGGUAACCUACCCCGAAG